GAGGUGACAGUGGUUGGUGCUUUAAUCGCUGGGCUGGAUUUCUGGCUCUGCCCUUUUUGAUACUUAAAGAGCCUAGGCCCUGAGAGGCCGAGCAUUAGUUUCUGAUAAGCCUGGUGUUUCUUCAUUCAUAUGGGCAAUUGAACAAAUGUUUAUCGAACACCCACUAUCUGUGAUAUCAGGUGCCUGGAUGCAGAGUGACGAGAAGACACAAUCUGCCCUAAAGGAGCUCACCUUGACUCAUGUGGCCCGGUAACGUCUGAUCAGCCAAGAAGUAUAGAUUAUUAUAUAAAAGUAUCAUAACGUUUGUCUUGUGGAGACAGACUGGAAUUUAUUUCUGCAACGUAAAACAUCGGUGGAAUGCAAAUUACCCCUGUCCAAGGACCCAUCAGGGUUUUUGUGAAGGGAAAGUUCUUUUAUCACUCAGGGUGGUGAUGGCUAUGCGUGAAGUCCGCCUCAAGAACACAGUAAUCCUCGGGGGGGAUGCAAGUCAAUGCAGAAAAUCACAUCCAUUUCUUCUACUGGUUUCUGUCAUCACCUUUUGAGAUCUUCAAAACAAGCCCGUGAUUUGAUCACCGUGAGAGCAAACGGUGCCCUCUCACUCCAAGUCGCUAAUACACGGUAUUAUUUUGAGAAGUGAACAGAGAAGAUGACAUUUAACAAAAGACAUCUGGGCGUAUCACAUUUAAAAAGGAAUAGGAGCUGGUUACCCAGGAAGGUUGAAACCAGCAGAGACCACGCGUGAUC